rnacentral:rRNA from 1 species
AGAGUUUGAUCCUGGCUCAGAACGAACGCUGGCGGCAGGCUUAACACAUGCAAGUCGAGCGAUCGCAGCAAUGCGGGAGCGGCAGACGGGUGAGUAACGCGUGGGAACAUACCCUCCGGUUCGGAAUAGCUCAGGGAAACUUGGAUUAAUACCGGAUACGGCCUAGCGGCGAAAGAUUCAUCGCCGGAGGAUUGGCCCGCGUUCGAUUAGCUAGUUGGUGAGGUAACGGCUCACCAAGGCGACGAUCGAUAGCUGGUCUGAGAGGAUGAUCAGCCACAUUGGGACUGAGACACGGCCCAAACUCCUACGGGAGGCAGCAGUGGGGAAUAUUGGACAAUGGGCGCAAGCCUGAUCCAGCCAUGCCGCGUGAGUGAUGACGGCCUUAGGGUUGUAAAGCUCUUC